rnacentral:rRNA from 1 species
UGCAUAUCAAUAAGCGGAGGAAAAGAAACUAACAAGGAUUCCCUUAGUAACGGCGAGUGAACCGGGAAGAGCUCAAAUUUGAAAUCUGGCUGUCUUCGAUAGUCCGAGUUGUAAUCUAUAGAAGCGUUUUCCGUGCUGAACUGUGUAUAAGUCCCUUGGAACAGGGUAUCAAAGAGGGUGACAAUCCCGUACUUUACACAAUCAUCAGUGCUCUGUGAUACGUUCUCUACGAGUCGAGUUGUUUGGGAAUGCAGCUCAAAAUGGGUGGUAAAUUCCAUCUAAAGCUAAAUAUUGGCGAGAGACCGAUAGCGAACAAGUACCGUGAGGGAAAGAUGAAAAGCACUUUGGAAAGAGAGUUAAACAGUACGUGAAAUUGUUAAAAGGGAAACGAUUGAAGUCAGUCGUGUUCAUUGGAUUCAGCCGGUCUUCGGUGUACUUCCUUUGAACGGGUCAACAUCAGUUUUGUCCGGUGGAUAAAGGUAGUAGGAAUGUGGCUCUUUCGGGAGUGUUAUAGCCUAUUAUCACAUGCACUGGGGGAGACUGAGGACUGCAGCUCGCCUUUUGGCCGGGGUUCGCCCACGUUCGAGCUUAGGAUGUUGACAUAAUGGCUUUAAACGACCGUCUUGAACCGGGGCCA